rnacentral:rRNA from 1 species
UACGUAGGGACCAAGCGUUGUUCGGAUUUACUGGGCGUAAAGGGCGCGUAGGCGGCGUGGUAAGUCACUUGUGAAAUCUCUGAGCUUAACUCAGAACGGCCAAGUGAUACUGCUGUGCUAGAGUGCAGAAGGGGCAAUCGGAAUUCUUGGUGUAGCGGUGAAAUGCGUAGAUAUCAAGAGGAACACCUGAGGUGAAGACGGGUUGCUGGGCUGACACUGACGCUGAUGCGCGAAAGCCAGGGGAGCAAACGGG